rnacentral:rRNA from 1 species
UACGGAGGGUGCAAGCGUUAUCCGGAUUCACUGGGUUUAAAGGGUGCGUAGGCGGGCAGGUAAGUCCGUGGUGAAAUCUCUGAGCUUAACUCAGAAACUGCCAUGGAUACUAUUUGUCUUGAAUAUUGUGGAGGUAAGCGGAAUAUGUCAUGUAGCGAUGAAAUGCUUAGAUAUGACAUAGAACACCAAUUGCGAAGGCAGCUUACUACACAGUUAUUGACGCUGAGGCACGAAAGCGUGGGGGAUCAAACAGG